UACGGGGGGGCAAGCGUUGUUCGGAAUUACUGGGCGUAAAGGGCUCGUAGGCGGCCAACUAAGUCGGAUGUGAAAUCCCCAGGCUUAACCUGGGAACUGCAUCCGAUACUGGAUGGCUUGAAUCCGGGAGAGGGAUGCGGAAUUCCAGGUGUAGCGGUGAAAUGCGUAGAUAUCUGGAGGAACACCGGUGGCGAAGGCGGCAUCCUGGACCGACACUGACGCUGAGGCGCGAAAGCUAGGGGAGCAAACGGG
rnacentral:rRNA from 1 species